AGUUUCGAUUUUACGGACUUUGUUUGCCAUCUAAAAGGUCUCUCCUUUUUCUCCAUGCCUUCGAAAUAAUGGAACCAAGCCUCUCCCAUGGCUUCCUUCUGUCUAAACUCCGUACCAGUCCCCCCACCUCAUCCUCGUAAACUCACUGAAGCUUCUUCCUCUUCUUUACUUCUUGAUGGUAACAACUAUACCCCAGCGGGGGCUUUGAAACCCAUAGUUGUCAACGGGAAUCCCCCGACUUUUGUCUCUGCUCCUGGUCGCCGAAUUGUGGCUGUCGGAGAUCUACAUGGAGAUCUUAGGCAAACUAGAUUUGCGCUUGAGAUGGCUGGUGUAUUAAGCUCUGAUGGUCAAGACCUCUGGACUGGUGGAGAAACUGUGUUGGUUCAGCUUGGAGAUGUACUAGACCGAGGUGAGGAUGAAAUUGCCAUCUUAUCUUUGCUGCGAUCAUUGGACAAACAAGCGAGAGCUAAAGGUGGAGCUGUGUUUCAGGUAAAUGGAAACCAUGAGACUAUGAAUGUGGAAGGGGAUUUCAGAUAUGUUGAAUCUGGGGGAUUUGAUGAGUGCAAUGAUUUUCUGGAGUACAUGCAUGAUUCAGAUGAUGACUGGGAAGAGACAUUUGCUGGCUGGAUAGAUGUCUCUGAAAGAUGGAAAGAAGAUCAGAGGAUUUCAAGGAAUUAUUGGGGUCCCUGGAAUUUAGUGAAGAGGCAAAAAGGAGUCAUUGCCAGAUCAAUCCUUUUUAGGCCUGGCGGUUCAUUGGCACAUGAGUUAGCAAGGCAUCCUGUUGUACUCAAGGUCAAUGACUGGGUUUUCUGUCAUGGCGGCCUUCUUCCUCACCAUGUUGAAUAUGGCGUGGAGAGGAUGAAUAAAGAAGUGUCUGACUGGAUGAAAGGUCUGAGUGAGAGUGAUGACAGUCCCAAAGUCCCUUUCAUAGCCACUAGAGGCUAUGACAGUGUUGUUUGGAAUCGUUUAUAUUCAAGAGAUCCAUCAGACUUGGUGGACUUUAAGACUAAACAGGUAUAUUCGAUUCUCGAAGAGACACUACAAGCAUUUGAUGCUAAGGCCAUGGUUGUUGGGCAUACUCCUCAAACUAUGGGUGUAAAUUGUAAAUACAAUUGUAGCAUAUGGCGUGUGGAUAUUGGAAUGUCUAGUGGAGUACUUAAUUCGAGACCAGAGGUAUAAAUAAGCCGUGGGCCAGUGCAUAGAGCGAUGUUUCUUCUUUAUGAGCCACUAAAGGCAUUCAAAUGGGUGACUAAAUGAUGUUAAGCACCUUAUUGUUAUUUACUAAAUAUUAUAUUUGAUAAAUGCAACCAUGCCCGUUUCAUGAUAGGAAAGCAUUGAAUCUCUUAUGGGAAGUGACUCCCUUUGAUGCACGGGGACCGUCUAAAUUUGGUCAAUUAUGUUACUUGCUUUCGAGCCAUAAUAAUACCUGUUCUAGAAAUUAGAGACAAUAAGGCAAGAGUUAUUAGGAGCAAAAGGGACACAUACAGCGAACUUCAGGUUCUUGAAUAUAUUUAGAGACAAAUGAUUGUCGACCAGCAUUCAAAAGUUGAAAUUUCUAGAGCAGAGUGAUCUGUGAAGCACGGCAUCAUUUUCAGAGUCAGUAAUACUUGGAAAAGGAACAGAAAGAAUUUAUGAAGUGACUUGAACAUUUUUUGCCACUCCAUAAAAUUUUUUUAGUGUUCUAUGGAUGGGCUGUGUUCUGCAUUGUGGAAAUCCAAUGUCAUAGUGGUCGGAUUCUUGAGGUUCCUCCCCACUCCCUGUAAGGACAACGUAAUCCCAGUCUUCAUGUUGGGUCACACUGAUACUAAUCUAAUCCUCAUGCCGAUGCAACUUGGUGGAGCAUUAUAAUGCAGAGGCAUUUCAAUUUGAUAAUGCAACAACGGUCAUGAUGAUAAUGAUGAUUGUCGUUGCUCAUCCAUGCAAUCUUGAUUCUUUAUUUCUUACCGUGUAUCUGCGGGAAGUGCUGGUCUCCUGGUAGUUCCAACAGUGGUAAAUUUAUCAGCUGUUGAUUUGCCGAGCACACUCAUUUCUUGCUUCCCUAGAGCUAGAAACUCGUAAAGACUGGCACAGUUCACCAACUUUGGCAAUUCAAAGGGUUUUUGCGCGUACUA